rnacentral:rRNA from 1 species
GACGAACGCUGGCGGCGUGCCUAAUACAUGCAAGUAGAACGCUGAAGAGAGGAGCUUGCUCUUCUUGGAAGAGUUGCGAACGGGUGAGUAACGCGUAGGUAACCUGCCUUGUAGCGGGGGAUAACUAUUGGAAACGAUAGCUAAUACCGCAUAACAAUGGAUGACACAUGUCAUUUAUUUGAAAGGGGCAACUGCUACACUACAAGAUGGACCUGCGUUGUAUUUGCUAGUAGGUGAGGUAACGGCUCACCUAGGCGACGAUACAUAGCCGACCUGAGAGGGUGAUCGGCCACACUGGGACUGAGACACGGCCCAGACUCCUACGGGAGGCAGCAGUAGGGAAUCUUCGGCAAUGGGGCAACCCUGACCGAGCAACGCCGCGUGAGUGAAGAAGGUUUUCGGAUCGUAAAGCUCUGUUGUAAGUCAAGAACGAGUGUGAGAGUGGAAAGUUCACACUGUGACGGUAGCUUACCAGAAAGGGACGGCUAACUACGUGCCAGCAGCCGCAGUAAAAC